rnacentral:rRNA from 1 species
UGAGUGACCUGCCGAUUUGUGGGGGAUAGCCGGGCCAACGCCCGGGUAAUACCGCAUACGCUCUUCUUGGGGCAUCUCUAGAAGAGGAAACCUCCGGGGCAAAUCGAGGGCUCGCGGCCUAUCAGCUAGUUGGCGAGGUAACGGCUCACCAAGGCUACGACGGGUAGCUGGUCUGAGAGGAUGGCCAGCCACAUUGGGACUGAGAUACCGGCCCAAGACCUUCCCGUAACGGGGAGGCCAGCCGUAAGGG